rnacentral:rRNA from 1 species
AUGGUCGAAGUAGGCUUUAAGGAGGAAUUUGACGCGUAUGUGUGUAAUGCCGAUCUGGAGGACUUCUUACAAGAUAAGUGUCCUCAGUACUAUCAAUUGACUGAUUCAUUUGUGCGAAGGUUUAAAUAUAACUAUACACGUAAUUCUCCUAGUGUCCUAUUUGAUAUCUAUGAUACAUCUUAUACCAUGGACUUAGAGGAUUUUACAACUGCUUGCAAACUUCCACAGUGGGGUAAUAUUAAUGAUCCCCACAAAUCUGAAUUUAGAGACUUUCUUGCUAGUAUUACUGUGGGAGAAUCUAGGGAUAUUGCACAAGCUACCAUAGGGAGCAUUCAUUUCCCUGCUAUACAUUAUUUUGCUCUGUUCAUUGGUAGAUGCAUUAACGGUAAAGAUGAAGCAUGUCAUAUGUGUGUCCCUGAUCUUUGUGUCCUCAAGAGUGCUGUGUUAGGUUAUAAAGAUUAUAACUUGGGGGCAAUAGUUGCACGUAGGUUGCAUACUAAUGGUAGAGCUAGAGAUUUAUUUGGAGGAAUUUAUGCGACCUGUGUGGCUAAUUAUCUUGGAAUAACCCCACGAGAGGGGGAUAUGAUGUUACCUCCUGCUUAUUUAGAUUAUGACGCUAUGGUCCAACAUCACUUUCUUAAGAGGAAUGAACAAUUCCUCCAGUAUCGACUAAUCUAUGACAGAUGCAACGUUGUCCAUGUUACUCUUCCUGCUCCUCUCCUUUUUGAUUACCAGGCAAAAGGAAGAUAUGUUGUUACCAGGGAGGAAGCAGCUGAACACGAGGGGAGAGCGGAGGCGGCUCGAAAACAUGCCGCAGCUCAGGAGGGAUUUGCUGCUGCAUCUCAGUACAACCCCAGUUACAACUGCGGAUAUCAGCCAGGCUAUCCUUGGCAUUAG